rnacentral:rRNA from 1 species
CCCGCUGAACUUAAGCAUAUCAAUAAGCGGAGGAAAAGAAACCAACAGGGAUUGCCUUAGUAACGGCGAGUGAAGCGGCAACAGCUCAAAUUUGAAAUCUGGCUCUUUUAGGGUCCGAGUUGUAAUUUGCAGAAGAUGCUUUGAGUGUGGCUCCGGUCUAAGUUCCUUGGAACAGGACGUCAUAGAGGGUGAGAAUCCCGUACGUGACUGGGUGCCUUCGCUCGUGUAAAGCUCUUUCGACGAGUCGAGUUGUUUGGGAAUGCAGCUCAAAAUGGGUGGUAAAUUUCAUCUAAAGCUAAAUAUUGGCCAGAGACCGAUAGCGCACAAGUAGAGUGAUCGAAAGAUGAAAAGCACUUUGGAAAGAGAGUUAAACAGUACGUGAAAUUGUUGAAAGGGAAACGUUUGAAGUCAGUCGCGUCGGCCGAGACUCAGCCUUGCUUCCGCUCGGUGCACUUCUCGGUUGACGGGUCAGCAUCAAUUUCGACCGCCGGAUAAAGGUUGAGGGAACGUGACAUCUUUCGAGGUGUGUUAUAGCCCUUGAUUCGCAUACGGCGAUUGGGAUUGAGGAACUCAGCGCGCCUUUAUGGUCGGGGUAGCAACCCACGUAACGCGCUCAGGAUGCUGGCAUAAUGGCUUUAAGCGACCCGUCUUGAAACACGG